UCUCCGAUCGUAUAGUGGCUAGUAUGCCAGCUUGUCAUGGGAUUCAUCCCUCAUUUCGCUGGAGACCGGGGUUCAAUUCCCCGUCGGAGAG